rnacentral:sRNA from 1 species
CAUAUUUAAGUUUAAAUUCAAUUCAAAUGGGAAAUUACAUUCUUUCUUUGCAUCCUUGCCUUAGUUUCGUUCAAUUAAUUUUCUACAUUUUCGGUUUCUUUUUCUUUGUUAAUUUUUUCGUUUGGCUUUGCAACAACUACAAUACAUGCAAACAGCAAAUUUUGAGUGCAACAUAAACGCUUUUGACAAUUCAAACAGAAUCUAUCUUAAGUUGUUAUAUUUAUCUCUUACUUUGGUAUAAUAUUUACUAGAUCUACAUAUGUAUUUUUUGUUCCGUGUGUGUAUAUAUGUAUAUAUUUUUGGCUACUUUUUCUGGUAGUACACAAUCGCAAUAUCUUUAUCUCGUUCGGGUUUUUAAUUUGGAAAUAAGAUCGGAACUAAUACACAGCGGAUAAAAAUGUACAUUUUAUGUAAGUAAACCAUUUCGUUUUUAAUAAUUCCGAAAUUAUUAUUUCUUUCGUGUGUGGUAGGUGUGAGUGAGCGUGUUGUGUAUAUAUAACUGCCGGUAGGGGUGUUUCUUUGUCUGAAUUACACAUUUAAUACUUUGGUAUUUAUAUUUAUAUUAUAUACGACGUGUGAAAGGGUAUUCCUCCGAAGUUUUUGCAAAAUAAAUGCUCUUCAAAAGACCCCCUAUCUUACUAUAUUUUUUCCGAAUUACAUAAACAUUUCUGUCUGGGGUUGUUUGUCCGGUUAAUUGUGGGCGCCUUGGAUUGCUUAACUGGUUAAUUGAUGGCUUCGGCUUACUGGUUAGUUAAUUGGCUAAGCUAUUAGGUGGAGAAUCGGAAACUCAUGUAAGUUGUUCACUUGAAACAUACGACUAUAUGGGGCAGGAUGUUAGGUUGGUGUUAUGUAUACAUAUAUGAUUGUGGACAGUGCGAACUGUUCACCGAUCAAAGAACAAAAAGAUAGUUCUUUUAGUUGCGAAACGCACUGUGUGUGGUCUAUACUUAUCGGUGUACCGUUUUUAUUGUGUUGUUAGCACAAAAUACCUUACAAGAUUUUGGUAUCCUUUAUUUUUCAUUGGUUGUUUUUUUUAUGUUUUUCAAAAUAAAUUACAAUCAAUUCGAGAGGAGCAAGUCCCCAUAAACUGCACACAUUACUGCGUGACCUCCUCAUUGACUUAUUUUUUUCCUUAUUCUUUUAUCUUCAUCAGAAU